rnacentral:rRNA from 1 species
UACGUAGGGGCCUAGCGUUGUCCGGAUUUAUUGGGCGUAAAGAGCUCGUAGGCGGUUCGGUAAGUCAGGUGUGAAAUCUCCGCGCUCAACGCGGAGGGGCCACCUGAUACUGCCGUGACUCGAGUCCGGUAGGGGAGUGUGGAAUUCCCGGUGUAGCGGUGAAAUGCGCAGAUAUCAGGAAGAACACCUAUGGCGAAGGCAGCACUCUGGGACGGUACUGACGCUGAGACGCGAAAGCGUGGGGAGCGAACAGG